rnacentral:rRNA from 1 species
CAAUAGCGUAUAUUAAAGUUGUUGCAGUUAAAAAGCUCGUAGUUGGAUUUCUGGUGGGAGCGAUCGGUCUGGCGCUUAGCGCGAGUACUUGCAUCGUCUCCGGCCAUCCUUGGGGAGAGUCUGUCUGGCAUUAGGUUGACGGGCAGAGGAUCCUCAUCGUUUACUGUGAAAAAAUUAGAGUGUUCAAAGCAGGCUUAUGCCGUUGAAUAUAUUAGCAUGGAAUAAUAAGAUAGGACUUUGGUACUAUUUUGUUGGUUUGCGCACCAAAGUAAUGAUUAAUAGGGACAGUUGGGGGUAUUCGUAUUCCGUUGUCAGAGGUGAAAUUCUUGGAUUUACGGAAGACGAACUACUGCGAAAGCAUUUACCAAGGAUGUUUUCAUUAA